GUGAACGCUGGCGGUAGGCCUAACCCAUGCAAGUCGAACGGCAGCACCGUAAGAGCUUGCUCUUACGGGUGGCGAGUGGCGGACGGGUGAGGAAUACAUCGGAAUCUACUUUUUCGUGGGGGAUAACGUAGGGAAACUUACGCUAAUACCGCAUACGACCUACGGGUGAAAGCAGGGGAUCUUCGGACCUUGCGCGAUUGAAUGAGCCGAUGUCGGAUUAGCUAGUUGGCGGGGUAAAGGCCCACCAAGGCGACGAUCCGUAGCUGGUCUGAGAGGAUGAUCAGCCACACUGGAACUGAGACACGGUCCAGACUCCUACGGGAGGCAGCAGUGGGGAAUAUUGGACAAUGGGCGCAAGCCUGAUCCAGCCAUACCGCGUGGGUGAAGAAGGCCUUCGGGUUGUAAAGCCCUUUUGUUGGGAAAGAAAAGCAGCAGGUUAAUACCCCGCUGUUCUGACGGUACCAAAAGAAUAAGCACCGGCUAACUUCGUG
rnacentral:rRNA from 1 species